AGCUUGCUUUUGAUGGGCGUCGACCGGCGCACGGGUGAGUAACGCGUAUCCAACCUGCCCACCACUUGGGGAUAACCUUGCGAAAGUAAGACUAAUACCCAAUGACGUCUCUAGAAGACAUCUGAAGGAGAUUAAAGAUUUAUCGGUGAUGGAUGGGGAUGCGUCUGAUUAGCUUGUUGGCGGGGUAACGGCCCACCAAGGCGACGAUCAGUAGGGGUUCUGAGAGGAAGGUCCCCCACAUUGGAACUGAGACACGGUCCAAACUCCUACGGGAGGCAGCAGUGAGGAAUAUUGGUCAAUGGGCGAGAGCCUGAACCAGCCAAGUAGCGUGCAGGAUGACGGCCCUAUGGGUUGUAAACUGCUUUUAUAAGGGAAUAAAGUGAGUCUCGUGAGACUUUUUGCAUGUACCUUAUGAAUAAGGACCGGCUAAUUCCGUGCCAGCAGCCGCGGUAAUACGGAAGGUCCGGGCGUUAUCCGGAUUUAUUGGGUUUAAAGGGAGCGUAGGCCGGAGAUUAAGCGUGUUGUGAAAUGUAGAUGCUCAACAUCUGCACUGCAGCGCGAACUGGUUUCCUUGAGUACGCACAAAGUGGGCGGAAUUCGUGGUGUAGCGGUGAAAUGCUUAGAUAUCACGAAGAACUCCGAUUGCGAAGGCAGCUCACUGGAGCGCAACUGACGCUGAAGCUCGAAAGUGCGGGUAUCGAACAGGAUUAGAUACCCUGGUAGUCCGCACGGUAAACGAUGGAUGCCCGCUGUUGGUCUGAAUAGGUCAGCGGCC
rnacentral:rRNA from 1 species